UAGACUUUACACGGAGAAAAGUUUCCAUAAUGACCUUCAACCUCAGACGUAUCCAGAAAUACUUCGGUCAAAUUUGGCUAAUACAGUUCUAACUUUGAAGAAGCUAGGUAUUGAUGACCUAGUUCAUUUUGAUUUUAUGGAUCCUCCUGCCCCCGAGACGUUGAUGAGAGCACUAGAGGUUUUAAAUUACUUGGGAGCAUUGGAUG
rnacentral:misc_RNA from 1 species